UACGAAGGGGGCUCGCGUUGCUCGGAAUCACUGGGCGUAAAGCGCACGUAGGCGGCUUUCUAAGUCAGGGGUGAAAUCCUGGAGCUCAACUCCAGAACUGCCUUUGAUACUGGAGAGCUCGAGUCCGGAAGAGGUGAGUGGAACUGCGAGUGUAGAGGUGAAAUUCGUAGAUAUUCGCAAGAACACCAGUGGCGAAGGCGGCUCACUGGUCCGGUACUGACGCUGAGGUGCGAAAGCGUGGGGAGCAAACAGG
rnacentral:rRNA from 1 species